rnacentral:rRNA from 1 species
UAAAGGGAGCGUAGGCGGGAAGAUAAGUUGGACGUAUAAACUAUGGGCCAACCGAUAGAGGCGUUCAAAACUGUCAUUCUUGAGUGAAGUAGAGGUAAGCGGAAUUCAGUGUAGCGGUGAAAUGCGUAAAUAUUAGGAGGAACACCAGUGGCGAAGGCGGCUUACUGGCUUUAACUGACGCUGAGGCUCGAAAGCGUGGGUAGCAAACAGGAUUAGAUACCCUGGAGUCCACGCUGUAAACGAUGAUUACUAGGUGUGGGGGGACUGACCCCUUCCGUGCCGGAUUAACACAAUAAGUAAUCCACCUGGGGAGUACGACCGCAAGGUUGAAACUCAAAGGAAUGACGGGGGCCCGCACAAGCAGUGGAGUAUGUGGUUUAAUUCGAAGCAACGCGAAGAACCUACCAGGUCUUGACAUCCUACGCCAACCUAAGAGAUUAGGUGUUCCCUUCGGGGACGUAAGACAGGUGGUGCAUGGUUGUCGUCAGCUCGUGUCGUGAGAUGUUGGGUUAAGUCCCGCACGAGCGCAACCCUUAUGUUUAGUUGCUACGCAAGAGCACUCUAGACAGACUGCCGUUGCAAAACGGAGGAAGGUGGGGAUGACGUCAAAUCAUCAUGCCCCUUAUGACCUGGGCUACCACGUACUACAAUGGCUAUCAACAGAGGGCAGCGACCACGCGAGUGGGAGCAAAUCUCAAAAAUAGUCUCAGUUCAGAUUGCAGGCUGCAACUCGCCUGCAUGAAGUCGGAAUUGCUAUAAUCGCGGAUCAGCAUGCCGCGGUGAAUACGUUCCCGGGCCUUGCACACACCGCCCGU